GACGCGGUGGCCUAAUGGUUAGAGCGUUGGGCUCUGGAACCGGAUCGUUCGGUCCGGGUUCUAGCCCUGGCCGAGGUCA